CGGCAUGUCAAAACACGCCUUAUAUAAGAAAGGCUAUACUUCAAGAAUCACCUCAGAGACGAAAAGAAAAAUGUGGGAGACUGUUGAGAGAAGCUUCAAUGUCCAAUCUACAGGAAUACAUAGAACUGUAGACCUUCUAACUAAGAAGUGGGACAACUUGACCCAAGUCCACCGCCCUAAGUUCAUGGACUACAAAAGGCAGCUUCAUCUGACAGGAAAUGGCCAAAAUACAGCCUCCUUGUCAGAUUUGACAAAUGCUGUCAUUGAUGUUAUUGGCAGGGAUGGCUGUGCCAUGGAUGGAAUCGGUGGAUCAGAAGAAUUUGAUUCAACAUGUAUACAGGAAAGGUAUCAAUAGAUGGAAUAUCUUACAAACC